UACGUAGGGUGCGAGUGUUGUCCGGAAUUAUUGGGCGUAAAGAGCUCGUAGGCGGUGUGUCACGUCGGCCGUGAAAACCUGCAGCUUAACUGUGGGCGUGCGGUCGAUACGGGCAUCACUGGAGUUCGGCAGGGGAGACUGGAAUUCCUGGUGUAGCGGUGAAAUGCGCAGAUAUCAGGAGGAACACCGGUGGCGAAGGCAGGUCUCUGGGCAUUAACUGACGCUGAGGAGCGAAAGCAUGGGGAGCGAACAGG
rnacentral:rRNA from 1 species